AAUGGGCGAAAGCCUGACGGAGCGAUGCCGCGUGAUCGAUGAAGGUCGAGAGAUUGUAAAGAUCUUUUCCACAUGAGGAAUAACCAUCGGAGGGAAUGCCGGUGGGAUGACGUUAGUGUGGGAAUAAGCCCCGGCUAAUUACGUGCCAGCAGCCGCGGUAACACGUAAGGGGCGAGCGUUGUUCGGAAUUAUUGGGCGUAAAGGGCACGCAGGCGGUUAUACAAGUCCGAUGUUAAAGACCUGGGCUCAACUCAGGGAAUGCGUUGGAAACUGUAUGACUAGAGUAUUAGAGGGGGAGUCGGAAUUCCUAGUGUAGGGGUGAAAUCUGUUGAUAUUAGGAAGAACACCGGUGGCGAAGGCGGACUCCUGGCUGAAUACUGACGCUGAGGUGCGAAAGCAUAGGGAGCAAA
rnacentral:rRNA from 1 species